rnacentral:rRNA from 1 species
UACAAGCUUAUUAAGGGCGUAUGGGGAAUGCCUAGGCUCUCAGAGGCGAAGAAAGACGUGAUAAGCUGCGAAAAGCUGCGGGG